rnacentral:rRNA from 1 species
UCUUACGGCCAUACCACCCCGAGCACGCCCGAUCUCGUCUGAUCUUGGAAGCUAAGCAGGGUCGGGCUUGGUUAGUACUUGGAAGGGAGACUGCCUGGGAAUACCAGUUGCUGUAAGCU